GGCCCCCCAUGAUGGCAGCACUGGGCUCUGACACCCCCUGAGGAUUCCCGUGCCCCCCCCAGGAUUUGACCCCGGGGAGGUCUGAGGGGGCC